rfam:Lentinula edodes NBRC 111202 DNA, contig: scaffold669.
GGCGCUAUAGCCAAGUGGUUACGGCGACAGAUUAGAAUUGUGGACAAGUUGUGUCGCUUCAUCUGUUCCUCUUUGAGGGCGCAGGUUCGAAUCCUGCUGGCGUCG